AAGUCGAGCGGACAGAUGGGAGCUUGCUCCCUGAUGUUAGCGGCGGACGGGUGAGUAACACGUGGGUAACCUGCCUGUAAGACUGGGAUAACUCCGGGAAACCGGGGCUAAUACCGGAUGGUUGUUUGAACCGCAUGGUUCAGACAUAAAAGGUGGCUUCGGCUACCACUUACAGAUGGACCCGCGGCGCAUUAGCUAGUUGGUGAGGUAACGGCUCACCAAGGCAACGAUGCGUAGCCGACCUGAGAGGGUGAUCGGCCACACUGGGACUGAGACACGGCCCAGACUCCUACGGGAGGCAGCAGUAGGGAAUCUUCCGCAAUGGACGAAAGUCUGACGGAGCAACGCCGCGUGAGUGAUGAAGGUUUUCGGAUCGUAAAGCUCUGUUGUUAGGGAAGAACAAGUGCCGUUCAAAUAGGGCGGCACCUUGACGGUACCUAACCAGAAAGCCACGGCUAACUACGUGCCAGCAGCCGCGGUAAUACGUAGGUGGCAAGCGUUGUCCGGAAUUAUUGGGCGUAAAGGGCUCGCAGGCGGUUUCUUAAGUCUGAUGUGAAAGCCCCCGGCUCAACCGGGGAGGGUCAUUGGAAACUGGGGAACUUGAGUGCAGAAGAGGAGAGUGGAAUUCCACGUGUAGCGGUGAAAUGCGUAGAGAUGUGGAGGAACACCAGUGGCGAAGGCGACUCUCUGGUCUGUAACUGACGCUGAGGAGCGAAAGCGUGGGGAGCGAACAGGAUUAGAUACCCUGGUAGUCCACGCCGUAAACGAUGAGUGCUAAGUGUUAGGGGGUUUCCGCCCCUUAGUGCUGCAGCUAACGCAUUAAGCACUCCGCCUGGGGAGUACGGUCGCAAGACUGAAACUCAAAGGAAUUGACGGGGGCCCGCACAAGCGGUGGAGCAUGUGGUUUAAUUCGAAGCAACGCGAAGAACCUUACCAGGUCUUGACAUCCUCUGACAAUCCUAGAGAUAGGACGUCCCCUUCGGGGGCAGAGUGACAGGUGGUGCAUGGUUGUCGUCAGCUCGUGUCGUGAGAUGUUGGGUUAAGUCCCGCAACGAGCGCAACCCUUGAUCUUAGUUGCCAGCAUUCAGUUGGGCACUCUAAGGUGACUGCCGGUGACAAACCGGAGGAAGGUGGGGAUGACGUCAAAUCAUCAUGCCCCUUAUGACCUGGGCUACACACGUGCUACAAUGGACAGAACAAAGGGCAGCGAAACCGCGAGGUUAAGCCAAUCCCACAAAUCUGUUCUCAGUUCGGAUCGCAGUCUGCAACUCGACUGCGUGAAGCUGGAAUCGCUAGUAAUCGC
rnacentral:rRNA from 1 species